CAUGGGAAUCACAGCACACAAACCCUCGCUGGAAAGGCUUGGACGCGUCACAUGACUCGUUGCGAGGCGCAGCUUCAGGAGAUGGGUGAUGGACAACUGAGAGUGGAGCAUAAGAAAGCGGUCCUGACAUGGCCGCUCAGCAACCAAUCAAUGUGAGGCGUCUACGGGAUCCCAGAGGAACACGGGACAUGAUUUCCCUCAGGAUGGAGAAGAAAGCAUGUUUGUGUUGCUCAAUUCCAAGCAGGAAGUGCGUCUGGUUCUUCUGGAGCUGGAGUUCAUCAGCACUGUCAGCGUGGCGGGAUGAGGAGGUGCUAGCCUUGCUUGCCAUGUUUGACCCUUCUUUGUGUCCACACGCAAUGUCUGGGCAUGUCAGCCCAGACAUUUCCAGAAUGACAAC